AAAAGUAUAUAUUUAAGUUGUUGCGGUUAAAACGCUCGUAGUUCUGUCUUUUGGGCGCAGGCGGCCGGUCCGUCGCAAGGCGUGUACUGGACGUCCUGGCCUUCCCUCCGGUUCUCCGCCGGUGCUCUUGACUGAGUGUCGGCGGCGGCCGGAACGUUUACUUUGAAAAAAUUAGAGUGUUCAAAGCAGGCUCUCGAGCCUGGAUAAUGGUGCAUGGAAUAAUGGAAUAGGACCUCGGUUCUAUUUUGUUGGUUUUCGGAGCGCGAGGUAAUGAUUAAGAGGGACAGACGGGGGCAUUCGUACUGUGCCGUUAGAGGUGAAAUUCUUGGAUCGGCGCAAGACGAACGACUGCGAAAGCAUUUGCCAAGAAUGUUUUCUUUAAUCAAGAGCGAAAGUCAGAGGUUCGAAGACGAUCAGAUACCGUCCUAGUUCUGACUAUAAACGAUGCCAACUAGCGAUCGGGGGGCGUUACAUUGACGACCCCUCCGGCAGCUUACGGGAAACCAAAGUCUUUGGGUUCCGGGGGAAGUAUGGUUGCAAAGCUGAAACUUAAAGGAAUUGACGGAAGGGCACCACCAGGAGUGGAGCCUGCGGCUUAAUUUGACUCAACACGGGAAAUCUCACCCGGCCCGGACACAGUGAGGAUUGACAGAUUGAGAGCUCUUUCUUGAUUCUGUGGGUGGGUGGGUGCAUGGCCGUUCUUUAGUUGGUGGAGCGAUUUGUCUGGUUAAUUCCGA
rnacentral:ncRNA from 1 species